rnacentral:rRNA from 1 species
CCAAUACGGGAGGCAGCAGGUGGGGAAUAUUGCACAAGUCGGGGGGAACCCUGAUGCAGCCAUGCCGCGUGAAUGAAGAAGGCCUUCGGGUUGUAAAGUUCUUUCAGUGACGAGGAAGGUUGAUAGGUUAAUAGUCUAUCAAAUUGACGUUAAUCACAGAAGAAGCACCGGCUAACUCCGUGCCAGCAGCCGCGGUAAUUUGG